rnacentral:rRNA from 1 species
GAAAUUUGGACAAUGGGCGAAAGCCUGAUCCAGCAAUGCCGCGUGCAGGUUGAAGGCCUUCGGGUUGUAAACUGCUUUUGUACGGAACGAAAAGCUUUGGGUUAAUACCCUGGAGACAUGACGGUACCGUAAGUACACGCACCGGCUAACUACGUGCCAGUAGCCGCGGUAAUACGUAGGGUGCAAGCGUGAAUAGGAAUUACUGGGCGUAAAGCGUGCGCAGGCGGUUUUGUAGGACAGGGGUGAAAUCCCCGGGCUCAACCUGGGAACUGCCUUUGUGACUGCAAGGCUAGAGUACGGCAGAGGGGGGUGGAAUUCCGCGUGUAGCAGUGAAAUGCGUAGAUAUGCGGAGGAACACCGAUGGCGAAGGCAACCCCCUGGGCCUGUACUGACGCUCAUGCACGAAAGCGUGGGGAGCAAACAGG